CAGAAAAUACGAAUAACAAACCGAAAAAGUUUAGGGAUGUCACAAUUCCUCCUCUCUUGAAAACCACAACCCCAAAAUCACAUUCUUCCCCUCCUGAUUUGUUCGAUCGAUCACCCACCGACCUCCACUAUUCCGUCGUUGAAAUCUCCAUCGGAGGUUUUCGUUUUCUUUAUCUCCUUUCCAAAUGCUCUUACAUUGUUUUUCCCCAAAGCUAUCACUACUCACUGCCACCACAUGACCACAACCUCCUAAACGCCACCACCACACACCGUGACCACCAGUUCUGAGUAUGACGGUGGAGGUCCUCUACAACCAUGGCUUGAGAUUUGAUAGAUGUAAAGAAUGCAAAUGCCCCUUUCAAGCAACUAUUUGAUUGAAUUAGAAAAGGGAAAACCUGUAAGAUCUUACUUUCUACUCUACUUUACUGUCACUGAAAUCAAGUUGUGUUUAAGAUUUUCAAUCAUGGUGAUUGUAUGUUAGUUGGAUUACAGGUGAUUCUUCCUUCUUUAUUUCUUCUCUUCCAAUCAUACCACGUAUAAUCAUUCCAUUGAAGUUGUUCAAGUUGUUCAUUAGCUUACAUUCUUUUUUUUUCACAACCACUUUUGGUGUACAUGUGUAAGGUGGAUGAACAACACCACCCAAACCCAAAUACAGGUCUCAACCUAUUUCUCAAAAUCUUCCUUGCAUCUUUCAAAAUACAUUUCGAUAUUGUUUUCUUUCAUAUUUAUUUUUGUGCUUAGAUUUUCUGUAGUUAUGAUUUUUAUCAGGAGCUAGAGGAGUUUGUGGUGGUAAUCUUUUGAGGCAAUUAUGAUCGUUUUUCCAUACAGUAUUUAAAUGUUCCUUUUUCUUAUGAAAAGUUGCAGGUGGUGAUGAAAAGGUUAUCUAUUUGAAAUAGGUUUGUCUAUAUCAAUAGAAAAAACAACCAAAUCAUUUCAACCUUCAUUAUUUUUAUUCUAUUUACUGCAUAUUAGGUGUUUGUGAAAAUGCCACAAUGAAUCCAUUUUAGGAAAGGGCCAAGUUGCCAACUAGGGAUGAAACUAUAAUGGUAUUUCACAAUAAAAAUCGUUUUCAUCAUAUGUUGUACAAGACACCCUCUUAUUUAAGAUGAGGUUAAUAUGAAGGUAACUUUUUUACAAA